rnacentral:lncRNA from 1 species
ACGUGUAGUUCAAGUAGAAAAUAACUGAUAGAGCAUGCUUAGAUGUAGAGCCGAGCGAAGUUCCGUCGAGGUUCCAAUCCGCAGUUCCUACUGUUACAUUAAAUGAAAAGAAAAUUACAUACCCUUGAAAUCUUAGAGUUACAAAAUUCCUAUCUAAAUUUCAUCUGGAGUCUUGUUUUGAUUCUUGACUUGCUUCCCUCAUUGACUUUAGACUGAAACUUGAUGCUCUCGAUGUAACAGACUAUGAAAUAUUCUCACAGGCUUUUUUCUUGGUCAGAUAAUGAGAAUAUGGAUUCUUGAGACCCUAUGUCUCCGCAUGCAUUUUGUCAAAGUUGGUUGCAGCUGGUAUUGAGAUCAAAUGUUCCUCUUUCUCUUACAAGAGCUAGAAUCUUAUUUUUGCACAUCUAAUUUGUACUUUGCAAAAAACCUACAAGCCAUCACAAACAAACAACACGAACAAAAAUUUUCUGUCCCAGUUUGCACUAUGAAAUUUUUGUGAGUUAUUGAAAACACAAAAAACUAACUUUGUUAUUGCAGAAUAAAGAAUUGAAAAAGACAUCAUUUCUUUUAUAAUAUGGGAUGCCGUACCUUGUGUUAACAAGAAGGACGGCAACCAGGGGAUGUACUACCCUGUGUUGAAAAUAAGAUGGGGCUCGUCGAACUCUAGGAUGCUACUAGGGAAUGAUGUACCCUAUGUUGAAAGCAAGAAAUAAAACAAGAGGAUGUACUACCCUGUGUUGAUAAUAAGAUGGGGCUCGUGGAACUCUAGGAUGCUACUAAGGAAUGUCGUACCCUAUGUUUGUAGAAAGUAAUGUAGUACCCUGUGUUGGCGAUAAGAUGAGUCUCGUGGCACUGUGGGAUGCUACUAGGGAAUAUCGCACCGUAAGUUGGAAAUAAUAUGAGGCUCGAGGCACUCUGAGAUGCUACUAGGGAAUGUCGUACCCUAUGUUAGCAAUAAGAAAUACAACCAGAGGAUGUAGUUCCCUGUGUUGGCAACAAGGUGAGGCUCUAGGCUCUCUAAGAUUCUACUAGGGAAUGACGUACCCUAUGUAGGAAGAAAGUAAUGCAGCCAGGGGAUGUAGUACCUUGUGUUGACAAUAAGAGGAGGCAUUGUGGUGCUCUGAGAUGCUAUUAGGGAAUGUCGUACCCUAUGUUGGUAGAACAUGAGGCUUUAGUCACUCUAAGAUGCUACUAGGGAAUGUCGUACCCUAUGUUAGUACAACAUGAGGCUUGAGGCACUCUUAGAUGCUACUAGGGAAUGUUGUACCCUAUGAUGGUAGAAUAUGAGGCUUGAGGCACUCUGAGAUGCUACCAUGGAAUGUUGUACCCUAUAUUAGCAAUAAAAUACAACUAGGGAAUGUAGUACCCUAUAUUGGAGAUAGGGUAUUGAUUCCCUAUAAUGAAACUAAAAAUAACACGAUUACAUGUAUAUUGGGAGAAAAUCAAGGAUUUGAGAACUUCACUUAGUGGUGUUCAUCUUUUCACAAACUAUUUCCUAAAACUAUUUUGUUCCUUUUCGGAACAAAGGAAGAUUCAUUAGUUUAAAAAUGGUGGUCGGUUUAUGGCCUUGAUUAUUUCGGUCUCUUGAUCUUGGGUCAUCUUCUUUUAUGAUUUCAACUGCAACCGGUUAUUUCCCGAAUACCAAUUGCAUUUCUGACCCCGGAGAACAUUUGGCAUUUCCAAACUUUGCCAUGACGGUUGGUCGCGUGGGACGUAACCUUUUUCAACUUUAUUUUGCCUUUGUGGGCAUUUCACUUUUGACUUCUUUCUUCCAAAGUUUUAAAUUUUGGAGCAUUGGGGAACUUUUGGCAUUUCAAACUUUGCCAAUGGCUAUUAGUCACGUGGGGCACAUAACCUUUCAACUUUAUUUUUCCUUUGUUGGCGCUUCAAUUUGAUUUUGUUCUUCCAAAGUUUUCAAAUUCAAAGCAUCGGCCAAUCAUAGCCAGUCGAGGUCGACUUGAUGCCCUUGCCGAGGCUGGGCGCCUUUUGAAUAUAUCAGCUCGCUUUAAACGAGAACCUUGUAAAUCGGUCUUGCCGUCUUUUCUUUGCCUUAUUUCAAGAACAAAGUUAAACUGAAAGGGAUUCAAAGAAAAAAAACAAUGGAAUAGAGAAUGAGUUUAAAACAAGAGGUGUCCCCUUUGGGGUACAGAAAGACGGACUUAUCUGGGACUACAUGCGGACUUCAAUGAACGUGACAUGCCUUUUGGACGUGAUAAUUGAUCUAUAUAAAUCGUCUGACUCUCAGAAACUCAUCUCAACUUUUGACUUGAAACUCAGAAACCUUGCUGAGGACUGUGUUGAUGUCAUGGCUGCGAGGAUCCUCUUUUUGAUCAAUAGUGCUCUUUGCGGGUUUUCACUAGCUGACCUCUCUCAUUUCUCUUCUUGCCAUCACCUUAUAGUGCCCAUUGCGGGUUUUCACUAACAAAACUCUCUCAUUUAUUUUCUCUACUAAUAAUAGCCCAAAGUGCCCAUGAGGGUUUUCACCAGUAGGACUCUCUCAUUUUAUUUCUCUCAUUUGGUUACAUCCGAUCCAAGUAACUGUAUCCUCUAAUUCUUGAACAUUCUCGCCGAUUGAUCAAAAAGACAUGAAAGGAUUUGGGUAAAAAGAAUUUGGAUUGAAUUACAACUUUGGAACCUUUCGGUCAAAACCAUCAUCGAACCAUUGUAACAUCUGCCCCAGUUUUCCCUUUUGGGGGAAUGUGGAUUUUUGUUUUGGUGUGACCGAACCCUAGCAUGAGAUUGCCUAAUUAUCCUUUCGGAAUCAGGUCGGACGUAGUUCAAUUAACAUGAACUUGUUUUGAUUAUUGUUUUUUUUCUUUUUUUUUCUAUUUUUCUUCUCCUCUCUCUUUUCAUUUUUUUCUUUUUUCUUUCUUUUUACAUACAAGUUUCCAAAGAGGGUGAUCAAGGAAUAAAUAUCCAUCUCAAAGGGUUUGUAAUGGAUUGAUAGUGUUUGGGUAGCGAGAAUGAAAGCCUUCGUGAUCCCAAUCAGAGAAUAUUAACACCGAGUAGUGAGUCAAACAUAGUACCUUUUGACUACAUUUGCGUUGACUGUUGUCUCGGGGACAUUUCCUUAGAUGUCUCCCAAUUACAAUGCUCCCUUUGGCAAUACUCUUGUUACAAUGUACAGACCUUUCCAAUUUGGAGCAAAUUUUCACUUACCUUCUUCGAGUUGCCCAACUUCAAAUUUCUUGGGCCGCACUUUCUUGUUGUAUGCAUGGGCCAUUCUUUUUUGGUACAAUUGCCCAUGGCAAAAUGCGGCCAAUCUCUUUUCAUCAAUCAAAGUCGACGUUUCAAUUAGGUCUUGACCCAAUCGUCAUCCUCGAUCUCGGCUUCAACAAUGGUCCAAAGGGAGGAAAUUUCAACUUCGUUUCAAUUCUUUAUUUAUUUUCUUACAAGCCUUAUCUUCAACACAUUCUUCUUUUUGAUUCAUUAUUUCGAAGUCUGACAACAUUUUCGGAUCUGGGCAUGAAGUCCGCAAGCAUGUCAUGUUAUUAAAAUCUGCAUUUAACAGAACUGAAAAAAAGAAUAAGAAAAGUGACAAGAUUAAGAAAAGAGACAUUCUUGGACAAAGCAAUAUUAAUUUUAUUUGAUUUUUUUUUAAUUUUUAAAGAUAGAAGGGUUUACAUCAGAAAGUAAGACAUUAAAGUAAAACAUCCGGAUUACACCUAAAAUAAUCUGAAAGCAGAAAAGACAGCAAGACCGGCUACUGAGAUUCCUUUCUUACAGAGAACUUUUCAGGUUUGGUGCCCGUUUUUUGAUUUCUCUUCUGUUGCGGCAAUGGCUACUGUGGCUUUUAAUGCUGGAUAAAAUUCACCAUCAUCAUAGAUCAUUCCAAAGACUAGAACGUUGUUGUGAUUAGGCGAAGGAUUGUUUGUUACAUUAGGAGCCUCUCCAUCCCUAAGAAUGAUUCUUUUAGAUUCAAUCAAGUAUUCAACUUCCCUUUUGAGGGUCCAACAGUCCUCUGUAUCAUCUCCCACUACUCUAAAGUAGUAUUCACAUCUAGCACCAGCUCGGUGCAAGGGGGACUCUGGGUUCGGCCAGUUUUGGGCCACUGGCUAAACCAGACCUAGCCUGAUUAGCCUUUGGAACAAUAUCGAGUAUGAUUCACCAAUAGGGGUGAACGGAUUCCUUCUAGAAGGCACUCUUGGGUGAGGAAUUAUUUUGGAGAACAUUAUGUUGGGGAUUAUAUGGAGCUUGGUAGGGACAAACAUUUCUGGGAGGCGGAGCUCGGCUUUGAGUAUGAUUUUGUGGCUGCGUGUAAGGUUGUGUGUUCAUCAUCACAUCGUGAGGUAGUGCCACGACAUAUGCAGCAUCAUGAUGCAGGUUGUAAUGUUGCAAAGUUCUGGGUGGCAUAUAUGAUUGGUUGAAUGACAUGCGGGCCUCCCUUGAGCUUGAAGCCAUCAUGGCUCCCUCUUCUCUCCUGUUUCUGUUUCCGAAACUACCGGACCCGCUUUGAAUUGAUUGCGUAGUCGCCUUAAGGGCUGCCUGACUACAAUUUUCACGACUUCAUGCCAUUCUCAACUAUUUCUCCAAUAUUAAUCGCCUCAGCAAAAGCUUUGCCAAUGGAGGCCAACAUAUAAUUGAGGUAAUCAGGAACCUGAGCAUGGAGAAAAUAGUCAAUUAUUUUUUCCUCUUCAUUGGUGGUUUGACCCUAGCAGCCUUCUCCCUCCACUUGAUUGCAUAUUCUCUAGCUUUCUGUUGGUUUCUUCUUGAUGUUGACAAGAGAGGAGCGGUUUGACACUAUAUCAAUAUUCUACUGAAACUGUAGGACAAAAUCUUGAGCCAUGUCAUUCCAAACAUGCCAGUGAGACAUGUCUUGAUCUAUGCACCACUCUGAAGCAAUUCUUGUCAAACUUUCCCCAAAAUAGGCCAUGAGCAAUUCUUCUUUGCCCCCUGCUCCGCUUAAUUUGUUACAAUACCUCUUCAGAUGGGCCAUGGGAUCACCAUGCCCAUCAUACUUAUCAAAGUUGGGGGACUUGAAACCGGGUGGCAAAUGAACAUGGGGGAAGAUGCAUAGAUCAUAGAACGAAACACUCUUGUGGCCUCCCAAACCGUGUAUGUUUCUCAUUAUUUGUUCCAAGCUCUUCAUUAUUCUAGUCAUCUCCUUUUGUUCCAUAUUUUUUUUUGGGCUUUUCAUUCUUAACUGGAAACACGUUCUGAGGAGUAUGCUUGUACGAAUCUGGAACCUUGAAAGUCAGUUCCUGAGAGUAAUUUUGGGCAUCAUGAGCAUUGAGUUGUGGAUCAUUGUUGAACUUUUGAGCAAGAGCCGGUUGAGGGACAGUAAAAGUAUGGACAAUGGGUACAGUAGGUGGGUCAUUUCUGAGGGGUGCGGUUGGAGGACAUGGAAUGGAGGUACUGGGGAUAGUGGGAAGGUUAAUGUUUGGACUAAAUCCAGGUUGGUACAAUGGGUUACUUGUUAUGGAGAUGGGCACUUGAGUUGAAACUGACACAUUAUGAAGAUUAUCCGAUGGCCCUAUAGGUAGUGGGGGCGGUGCCUGUCCAUUCACCCAGGCUUGGUACAUCUCUGCCAAUUGUUGCUUCAGCACUCUUACUUCUUCAACCAAUCUCGAACCUUGUUCGAGCAAUUGUCCAUAGACAUCAUCAUUAUCUGACUCAUUCUCACGGUUGUUUGCCAUUCUACUUUUUCCUUUUGAUCUAGUGUUGUGAAGGUGAGUCGCGAGUUUAAACCACAAACCAACCACCUUUGUUUAACUUUAUCUUAAAUAACAAACAACAAACGUGUUAGAGUUAGGCAUUUUACAGAUAUUAAUCACACAUUAUAUGUCAUGUACCUAAUGCCAUUUUCAUUUCUAAAAUGAGGUUGGAGGCUUCAUGCUUCAGCCCGGCUUAUUGGUUUAUUUUAUCUUGACUUUAACACUCUCUUUCUUAUUCUUUACUUUCCUCCUCUUUUUCAAUCAUUUUCCUCGCUUUCUUUUUUAUUUAUUUAUACUCUUUUGUGGUUUUAAACUAAUUUUUAUCGAACCCGUUGGAGGUUGCCUACAUAUCAUAUUGAACAUAAAUCAGAUCAUUACGUAGUUCAGGAAGAUCAGGAAUAAAGUAAAUAAACUAACAAAUAAACUAACUCUUACGUUUAUACAAUUCAGACCAUGAAAGCUCUUAACAAGGAAAAUAUUUUUUUGAUUUCUAAAUGUUUUGUAGUUUUUUGGGAAUUUUCGAAAGAAAGACUUCUAAAGAAAAAAAAACAUAGUAAAGAAGAAAGAACAUAUUUUUUAAUUUUGAACUUCUAUUUUGAAUUUAUGAAAGAAAAGACUUCUAGAGAAAAAAAAAUAGUUUUGAAUUUUGAAUUUUCUUUUUAAUUUUCGAAAGAAAAACUUCUAAGGAAUAACGAUUUAUUUUUUUGAAUUUUGAGUAGAAAUUAACAGAACAUAUUUUUCAAUUUUUAAAAAUUGGGGGCCGGAUCCGAUGAAGGUUGCCUACGCAUCUCACAUCCGGUGAGAAUCAGACCGGCGUAGUUCGGUUAGUUUUGAUACAACAGGAAAAAUAUGACUUUUUGAAAAUAUUGUCUCAUUUUGAAAUGACUUUUUCUUUUUCUCUUCUUUUUUUCCAAAUUUUAGCAGAGUUUCGGUAUUUUCAAAUACCUGGAUUUUUCAGAAACCGUAUAAAUUUUCUCUUUCCUGCCUCACUCUUGAUUUUUCUUGGUUUUCUUUCCCUAUUCUAGAAAUCGGUCAAUAUGCAAGCUGAAACAAACAUAUGCACAAGUAGCACGUAAAAAUGUAUCAGGAUAGUCUUUUAUAUUAGGUACAGCUGUCCUAGACAGACCCAACCCCUAUGUUGAGUCCCUUAAGUCAAAUGCACGUGAUGCAAACAAACGUUCCUACUAAGGAUCCGGCAUGAGGCUAUGUUAUUCUAGGCUUAAAUUUUGGGGUGUGUUGUUCUAGACCUGGCUUACCUGAGUGGACAACUAGAGCCGGGGGAGGGGGGGCAGCGUACCGGGAAUACAGAAGCUUCACUGACUUUGCAACUUGUCCGAUCCUCGUUCCAAAAUUAGGGGUAUGACUCUAACAGAAAAGAAGCCAGGCGAAGCCCACGCUUCCAAUAAGAUUUAGAAGACUUAGAGAGAAGAGGGGUGUCGUAACAGUUUUAUAUACAGUUCACGGCAAUAUCAAAGCGGUAAAGAGCGGUAAUUAGCACAUUAGGCCCAAACACAUAAUAUCAGACAAUCACAAGAAAGCCAAGUAUAAAAGUCAUCUAAGCUCGAAUUCUGAACCCUGAGCCAGAAGUUCUGGGUUCUAGACCCCAGAAGAGUUGCUAGAGUUGUCACACCUCCUUUUUAUGGGGAAAUGAAUUUUUUCAAUUUAAGUGACAUUAUUUGAAAAGGGAUUAAUUUAUUUCUUUUUAUAGAGUCGCCACUUGGAAUAAUUAUUUACGGCGUUCGGAGUCGCCAUUUAUUUCGAAUCCCAAAUCAAGGAAAUUUUGACUCUAAAUUACGGUCUGUGAAAUACAGAAGACUGGAUAAGGAAUUCUGUUAACCCGGAAGAAGGUGUGAAGCACUACCGAAUUCUGUGAUUUUAGCAUGAUCACUUUACAAUUACUCCUAGCAUAAUUAUCCAAUUAUCACGUAUUUGAAACCUAUGUGUGUUUUUAACUUCUUACUAUUUUUAUUGAAAUUAAUUUACUCCAUUUUAGGCAUUUAUGGAAUUAAUUUGAAAUGAGUUACGAUGUCGUACACUCGUUGUUUAUACACAUCGCAAAUCGCGCCACGUCAAAUGCACCCGCAAUCUACAACAUAUUUUUUUAUAUUAUUACUUUGAAGUUGAAGUCAAGUCACGUGAACGUGCACUUGAAUUUGGAAUUAUGUAUCAUGACUAUGCCACGGGAACCGUACCCACAAUCACGAUAAUUCAUUAUUAAGCGUGCUUAAAGCAAACUACGAUGUUCAAAGAUUAUUUCUUAAAUUAGUGAUUAUUGUAAGGACAAUAGUUUAUGCAAAGAAUUUGUGGAAAAGGAUGUAUGAUUAUGAUGUUAAUAGGCUUGAUAGAAUUUAUUAUUGGCCCAUACUACUUAAAAUCAAAACCUAGGUUUAAAAGUCCAACACUUUUUGAUUUUUGAAUCACUACCCUAUGGUCUGCUAAUCUUCAUCUAUGACCCGAUUCCAGUUUCAAUCCAUUUAGAAAGUAAAUCAUGCUAAACUCCAUAUUCACAUUCAUUACUAACUCAUACUAAGUAGGGGUGUACAAAGAAAACCGAUAAACCGCACCAAACCUGUCAUCCGAGUCAAAUAAAAAAAAAACCGAUGUGAUUUGGUUUGAUUUGGUUUUGUAUUGAAAAAUAAAACCCGACUAUAAUUGGUUUGGUUUGGGUUUAACUUAAAAAAAGUCAAACCGAAACCAAACCAACCCGAUAGUAUACUUANNNNNNNNNNNNNNNNNNNNNNNNNNNNNNNNNNNNNNNNNNNNNNNNNNNNNNNNNNNNNNNNNNNNNNNNNNNNNNNNNNNNNNNNNNNNNNNNNNNNNNNNNNNNNNNNNNNNNNNNNNNNNNNNNNNNNNNNNNNNNNNNNNNNNNNNNNNAAUACAUUAUAUAUAGUUGUAUUUUAUUGGAACUUAAGAAAUAUAUGGAGCACAAGUUACAUAAUUUAUGCUAUGAAGACAUUACCGGAAAAAACCCCGAAAACCCGAAAAAUCCGAGAAACAUCGAGAUUGAAAUACCAGACUUUGUUGGUUUGAUUUGGUUUAUAAAUUUAAAAACCCGACACCAUUAGUUUGGUUUGAUAAUUGAAAAUUCGAACCAACCCGACCUAUGUACACUUCUAAUACUAAGUAUCAAAGUUAAACCAACCAACUUCUCAUACUAAUCCCAAAGCAAGAAACGAGAACAGUACAUUUACUAACAAAAAAAUAUUAACUGUAUCAAACAAAGUAACUAGAUUCGAAUGUUGCAAAAGUCAUGUCACGCAAAUAACCAGCCUCCAAUGUAUUAGGAAACCAAAUGACACAGACAGAAUAAAGCAAGGUGAGCUAUUUAAGAUCCUUUGUGCUCAAACCAAAACCAUUAACGUACAAUUAAAGCAAAUAUUAAAGACAUUUGAAAUUAUAACAAAAAAAAGAGAGAGAGAUAAGGCUAAAAAUGAACCUCAAAACGUUUCAAUAUAUUGAUAAGGGAACUUGUACAGCAAAUCAUCCAUGAAGUGAAUGGAAUGCGACACCAAUGCCAUCGACCUUCAACGGAACCUCGCCGGCAACCUCGAACGGCCUCACCGGAUUUUAUCAACUCAAGAGAGAAUCGGCAGUGAAUGAAGAUGGAAGCUGCUGCAUUUUUUAUGGUAGAACAGAGCUGGAUUUCGAGGUGUCUUAGAUCUGAUUUUUU